GUGAGGAAUAUUGGUCAAUGGUCGGAAGACUGAACCAGCCAUGCCGCGUGCAGGAAGACGGUCCUAUGGAUUUUAAACUGCUUUUAUUCGGGGAUAAACCUCCUUACGUGUAGGGAGCUGAAGGUACCGAAAGAAUAAGCACCGGCUAACUCCGUGCCAGCAGCCGCGGUAAUACGGAGGGUGCAAGCGUUAUCCGGAAUCAUUGGGUUUAAAGGGUCCGCAGGCGGGAUUGUAAGUCAGUGGUGAAAUCCGGCAGCUCAACUGUCGCACUGCUAUUGAUACUGCAGUCCUUGAAUUCGAUUGGAGUGGGCAGAAUAUGUCAUGUAGCGGUGAAAUGCUUAGAUAUGACAUAGAACACCGAUAGCGAAGGCAGCUCACUAAGUCUGAAUUGACGCUCAUGGACGAAAGCGCGGGUAGCAAACAGGAUUAGAAACCCCGGUAGUCC
rnacentral:rRNA from 1 species